rnacentral:lncRNA from 1 species
CAGAAUCAAUCUUCCCGUUGAAGUCCACUGUCAUUCGCUGCUGUGUGCCAAGAACCCUAUCAAGCAUCUCUUCAAUCUUGCUCUCUUGAGUAGGCGGCGGUGGCUUCUGGUAGUAGGAACUUCCAUUAUUCAUGUUGUUGUUGUAGUUGCUGUUGUAGGGUUUCUGGUACUGUGAACUCUGAUUGAAAUUUCCCCUAUUUCCAUAGGAAUUUAUGUUUCCACCCUGGUUUCCAGAACCUUGGAAUCCAGUUCCACCAAUAAAGUUCACUUCUUCUUCUUCCCCUGCUC